GAUGAAGAACGUAGCGAAAUGCGAUAAGUAAUGUGAAUUGCAGAAUUCAGUGAAUCAUCGAAUCUUUGAACGCACAUUGCGCCCAUUAGCAUUCUAGUGGGCAUGCCUGUUCGAGCGUCAUUAAGUCCACUUAAGCCCUGCUUAGUGUUGGGAGACUGCUCCAGCGGUGCUACCCUGUAGCUACCCUGCAGCUCCUCAAAGACAGCGGCGGAGUUGUGGUAUCCUCUGAGCUUAGUAACUUGUUCUAGCUUUCGAGUACACCACUUCCCCUGCCGUAAAACCCUUAAUUUUUAAUGGUUGACCUCGGAUCAGGUAGGAAUACCCGCUGAACUUAAGCAUAUCAAUAACGGAGGA
rnacentral:misc_RNA from 1 species